rnacentral:misc_RNA from 1 species
GGAAGUAAAAGUAGUAACAAGGUUUCCGUAGGUGAACCUGCGGAAGGAUCAUUACAGAGUUCAUGCCCUCACGGGUAGAUCUCCCACCCUUGAAUAUUUAUACCUUAGUUGCUUUGGCAGGCCGUGGAAACACCAUGGGCUCCGGCUUAUGCGUGCCUGCCAGAGGAAACAAACUCUGUUUUUAGUGAUGUCUGAGUACUAUAUAAUAGUUAAAACUUUCAACAACGGAUCUCUUGGUUCUG